CCAUUAUGGUUGGGAUUUUUUAGAUCAGCAGUUAUUGCUACAAGUCAAAAAUUUAUUAUCAUCUACUGGCCUACUAAGUCCCAACAUAAUGA
rnacentral:pre_miRNA from 1 species